CCUGUUUUACAGAGAAUCUUUUAUUACUGAAUGAUUCAGUUCAUGUUUGUGCCACAGUUUCAUGAGAGAACAUUUUUUUUCUAUGAAUCAUACAAGCUUUAAAGGGGCACCUAAGUCAAGAUGUGAAUAAGGGUUGUUUCUAACAGACAACUUAGCAAACAACCAAUUUAUCCUUAGCCAGAUAAAUUGGUUUUAUCUGGCUAAAAUGUAAACUUUUUGCAAGAGCUUAAUCAGAAAAGGUUUCUGUGGAAGGGUGGCUGUCAAAAAGCCAUUUUUAAGGAUGACAAUGAUCUCAAACAGCAAAACCAUAUCUGGAUAGAAAAACACCUGAACACCGUCAGUCAUUGCAUCAGCCUCCCCAGAGCCUGGACCUCAACAUUACUGAAGCAGUGUGGGAUCAUCUCGAUAGAGACAAAGGCAGCCAACAUCCAACAGGAGUCGCUGCUGUUACACCUUGCAGUUGAGACAAUGGGCACUGUGACUGUCCUGAGUGUGACAGGCACCUGGCCUCCUUCCAGACU